UUGGCUAGUUUAACCAUGCCAUGCGUGGGCGAUCCUGCGUGCGCGUAAACAAUUGUCUUAGUGGAAGGCGGUCUUAAAUAAGAGAUCACAUGUAGGCAUGCGAGAUCUGGUUGAUUGAUUCUAACUGCAUAUGGGUGCAGUGCAUAUAUAUUAUGGUUGUUAAUACAUAGAUGGCCCGGUGGUGUUGGUGGUUAAAUAAUACUAAGAUGUACUAUGUCGAUAGGCGAUCAACAGACAGAUCGGCGUGGGUGACAGGCGGACCGACACCGGAGGCAGGC
rnacentral:lncRNA from 1 species